rnacentral:rRNA from 1 species
GAUGAACGCUGGCGGCGUGCCUAAUACAUGCCAGUCGAGCGAACGGACGAGGAGCCUGCUCCUCUGACGUUAGCGGCGGACGGGUGAGUAACACGUGGAUAACCUACCUAUAAGACUGGGAUAACUUCGGGAAACCGGAGCUAAUACCGGAUAAUAUAUUGAACCGCAUGGUUCAAUAGUGAAAGACGGUUUUGCUGUCACUUAUAGAUGGAUCCGCGCCGCAUUAGCUAGUUGGUAAGGUAACGGCUUACCAAGGCAACGAUGCGUAGCCGACCUGAGAGGGUGAUCGGCCACACUGGAACUGAGACACGGUCCAGACUCCUACGGGAGGCAGCAGUAGGGAAUCUUCCGCAAUGGGCGAAAGCCUGACGGAGCAACGCCGCGUGAGUGAUGAAGGUCUUCGGAUCGUAAAACUCUGUUAUUAGGGAAGAACAAAUGUGUAAGUAACUAUGCACGUCUUGACGGUACCUAAUCAGAAAGCCACGGCUAACUACGUG